CUGGAGCCCGUCUGCUGUAGAAAUUCAUUUGGAAUCCAUCCGCUGUAGAAGUUCGGACGGAGUCUGGCUCUUGUAGGAGCUCAGAUGAAAUUCAGAAGGUGGUUGAUCACCACAGAAACUUGGAUAGAGUCUGGUUACUGUAGAAGUCCUGCUGCUGGAGAAGCUCGGACAUUGACGAAGUCCGGAAGAAGCUCGGAGAGAAAUCGAUCGUGACAGG
rnacentral:lncRNA from 1 species